UCGCUUGAGGACGUGUAUGUCACUGUCCCAUUACUGCCUCCACAACAUGAUGUCAUCACUCCAAGAGGUCCCUGUCUCAUCUCAUCUCAAGAGCCCAGAUAGCUCAGUAGGUCACCACAUAAGAUGUUGUUCCAGUGCUCCUGUAUCAGCUGCCCUGGGACCAGAGCACCCUGUCCUGUCCCUGGAAGUGCUUCUUUCUUACUCACCCUAAAGAACAGGAGGGAACAUCAUUACAGACUGGAAAUGUUCAUGUGAUCCAGAAGGUGGCUAAAGAGAAAGAUCUCUGUGCAUCUCCACCAGACCUGUAAAAAACUUUUAUUAGCCUUUAUCAAAACAUUAAUGACAGGCACGGGAUAUAAGCUUAAAAUACCAUCUCCAUCAUUUCUUUCAGAUGUUUUCUUCUUAUCCUCACAUUUGAUCCUAAUAGAGAUUAUAUGACUAAAUCUUUCUUUCAUCAAGACUGGGCAGAUUAGAAGAUUCCCUUUAUAUUUAUUUUGUUAUUCUUCUGUAGCUUUUUCCGUUUGUAUAUUUUAUAUUUUCACAUAAUAAAUUGCAACUGUAUUGCAUUUUACUGUGUUGUUAUCCUGCAGUAAUGUCCUGUUGCAAAUUAAUUAACCCUUUACUGCAGCAUUUCUGUCUCUCUUGUUUUUUCAUAAUCUGUACGUUCUAUAAAGGUACUCUGAGAUGGGUCAUUCAUUUUUGGUUUUAAAGUUUCUGCAGCAAAAAAACAAUGCAUGUAUUUACUAAAUCCAACAAAACAAAAAUGUAGAGAGAAAGCUUCAGUGCAAAACAAUACAAUAUCAAUUCAAUCUAGAAAAUGCUUGUCUUCUCUAAUAGUUGUUUUAUAUUUUGGUUUCAAUCAUCAAAGUCGUUGAAAUUAUAAUAACAUUUGUGAUCCAAACAUAAGUUCCUCAAUAUCUUAACUGCCAGGAAUGUUAUUUAAAUGAACUUAUUGGGCGCCAAUUGCCA